rnacentral:tRNA from 1 species
GGAGAGGUGGCUGAGUGGCUGAAAGCGCCAGAUUGCUAAUCUGGUGUCUCCUUUAUUGGGGACCGCGGGUUCAAAUCCCGCCCUCUCCGCCA